rnacentral:rRNA from 1 species
AACGUAGGAGGCUAGCGUUAUCCGGAUUUAUUGGGCGUAAAGCGCGUGCAGGCGGUUUGAUAAGUUGGAUGUGAAAUCUCCCGGCUUAACUGGGAGCGGUCGUUCAAAACUAUCAGACUAGAGAAUGGGAGAGGAAGGUGGAAUUCCGGGUGUAGUGGUGAAAUGCGUAGAUAUCCGGAGGAACACCAGUGGCGAAAGCGGCCUUCUAGACCAUUUCUGACGCUAAGACGCGAAAGCUAGGGUAGCAAACGGGAUUAGAGACCCCGGUAGUCCUAGCUGUAAACGAUGUAGACUUGGCGUUGGCGGAGUUAAAUCUGCCAGUGCCGAAGCUAACGCGUGAAGUCUACCGCCUGGGGACUACGACCGCAAGGUUAAA